ensembl:lncRNA
CUUUUUAUGGCUGCACCUGAGGCAUAUGGACAUUCCCAGGCUAGGGGUCGAAUCAGAGGUAUAGCUGCUGGUCUACACCAUAGUUACAGCAAUGCCAGAUCCUUAACCCACUGAGGCAAGCCAGGGAUUGAACCUGCAUCUUUAUGGAUACUAGUCAGGUUCCUUACUGCUGAGCCACAACAGAAACUCCCUGGAUAGUGAUUUUCUUAAUCACUACUUAGCAAAAUAUUUAUAGUUAUGUUUUAAUUUAUCUUUUACGAACAAAAUAUAAGUAAAGCUUCUCGAGGGCAGAGCCUUGAUCAGGUUGUUCAUCUUUAUAUUUCUUGGGCUUGAAUCACUGACUGGCAGGUAACAUGAUUCACUGAAUAUUUGGUAAGUGGAAGUAUUUAUUCCAAAAUGAGAGUGACCACUUCCACCACAAACUCUCUUCAUUCUGGAAACUGUUACAUUGUCAUUUUCCUGCACAUCUUAUCUAACUUGGGUAUGCCACAGUUGUCUUUCUCUAGAGCUGGGCUUCUGACUUCUGUGUUAGAAAAAUCACAAAGAUAAACUGAUUGGCCCUAUUGCAAAUUAUUGCCAAGAGCAUCUGGAAACUCUGACAAAGCCUGGUCCAGGGAUACAUCAACUAAUUUUUGGUGAAUGAAUGGAUUUUGUAGAAUCCCAUGCCUGAACAUACUUUUUCCAAAACGACUGUUAUCAUAAACUUUUUCAUAAACUCAAACUAACAGCUGAAGGAUGUAAAUCCUCAAGAUUCUCUUUUAACACUACUUUUUCCUAAUAUAUGUUACUCAUCUUUAUACGCAUUUAAGAAGAAGAAAAAAGAAACUGAGAGGCAGUUUUCCAAAACCAGAAAGUAUUAUUGAAAAUUAUUCAAGUUCAAUUUUGAAUAAAAUCCCCUGAGGUUCCUGUAAAAUCUCCGCUGAAUAAGUUCACAAUUCCAAGAGUACCAUUUUUAGUAAAAUCUUCUCUUGGUUUACUUAGUAAUUCAGCACUCUGAAAUAGGAAGGUGUGAAGAUUAAGCAAAAAAGUCCUACUUGAACACAAUCUCUAACUUUGGAUUUUAGAAAAGUCUGAUAAAACUUAUUUUUUGUUACAAGUUAUGUUUGGUGUUUAUAGGCAGUGAAAUCUGGAACUGCUGAACAGUUCAGGAACAUCAACUGCCUGAUUAAUCUAAAACACCACUAAAUUAACAUAGACAUAACACUUCCUUCAGCAAAGUGCUUUCUAAGUAUAUAGAAAACUGAUAGAAUCACUGUAAACCGAAGUAAUUUUAGAGAAUGUCCUCAUUAAGGUCCUCCAUGGCAAAACAGGAAGCUAAGAAGAAAUAAUUUUUUUUUCUUCCUAGUCCAUUUUGUUGUGUCCUACAAUGGGCUAUCCGCAUUAAGUAAUCAACUGGGGAUCAACUUCACAUGGCAAGAUGAACCCUUUGUUGGUAGAAUAUAUACUUGGAAUUGCUUUCCUUGCAGCGCACUCAAAGGAACCAGGGGUAUACCAGCAUGUGGCAUUGUGCCCUUACUUGCGAUGGGGACUUUGGUCCAAAUGUCUGAGAACAAAGCUCAGAAAGGUGGAAAACUGUUCUUAACUUCUCCCUCAUCCUGGCCCUAAAGUCCAUCACAGACAUCAAAUCAUCCCUACCUUAAACCUGGUUAAUUAUGUGAUAGGGCAUGAAUUUUCAGGGUGGGUAAGCAGUAUUCAGAGGUAUAUAUUAUGGCCCUCAAAUAGAGUUUUGUUAGUUCAUUCAUCCAAUCAUUUAUUCAAUAAGCAUUUCUGUGUACCCGUGCCAGGCACUGUCCAAAGCAUUAAGUUAUGGAGCUGAAAACAAUUUUAUACUUCACCUUAAAGAGCCCAUGAUCUAAAGGGAAAAUAGACUUAUUAAGAAAAUAGAAAUAUGACUAUGUUCAAUGCCAUUUUAGAUAUUUUAACAUGGUGUUAAGAGAGCACAGAGGAAAAAACAACUUACUUAAAAGUCACUUAGUAGUUUCACUAGAAGCUAAUACUUGAUUCAAAUCCAGAAGCUCCAGCCUGGAGAUGCAUAUAAGGCAAGUAAGCUUCUUUGGUUAAAGUGCUAAGCCACGCCUCUCACACUGGCCUAAUCCACACAACUGAACUUCUGUUUUGGCUUUCUAGGGUACUGAAGAUGCGGCUAGAGCCCAGCUGAACUACAUAUGACUCCCUAACCACUCCCUCUUCCCUUACAUAUGUGCAAUUCAUGGCCAGGUUCCUUCUCAGAAGUACUUAUCUCAUUCAAAACAAUCACCCUGUAAAGCUGUCAAGAAUAUGACUUCAAGUGUUAUGACAAUGCCUGCAGUGUUAUUCCCAUGCCCCACCAAGGAGAUUGGCCUUCCUUAGAUACACAAAGAGAUUCUGGCUCAAAAGCAUAUCCCCUAGUUGAAACUUGACUUGAGUCCAUUAUCCCUUUUAGUUUGCUUUAACAUAUUAUACUGACUAUCCACCCUGACCCUCACUUUGGCAACCAUUCCCAUUCAGUUCUCUCCCCUGUGCCACACGCUCUCAGACCCUCCCUUCCUCUGUACCAGCUGCAAUGUGAGAUCCCCAGCAUUUCUGAUACUAUAUAUGAUGCAAAAACAUCAUUAUUUUCAACAAAUGUUAUUCAUAAAGUGACAUUAAGGUGGGACACAGGCUUGAAAAACAACAAGGGCUCAAAUAGGUUAUGUGUCAUCCAAAACUGCCCAGGCAGUAGGAAUAAAAACUGACCCCCCAAGCCAUAUUUUCUACUGCCAUUUCAGGUGUUUUUUGCCUGACCACAUGGUAUGGGCUAGGAAGAGAGGUAUGGCCUAUCUCUCUCUGGAAGUGCAGUGGAAUUCAUCUUGUUGAGGUUAUAAUCCUAAAGAAACAGAAACUUAAUAAGAAAAUAACAUGAUAACCAAGACCUAAAUUGAAAAACAAAACAAAAAAUCAGAAAUUGAGGCCAAAAAUGAGAAUAAGCAAGCCUUAAGACUUAGAAGUCAAAUACACUGUGAUAUUAAAAAGGAGCAAAGCACCCAGGUCUGAAGGUUUGAGGCAGCCUAGAAGAUCACCCAACAAUCCCACCUUGAGGUUUCAAACACUAAGCCAUGUUUGGUCAUCCAUACAAAAGUACAAGCUUUAAAAUUAGAUGUGUCCAUCAACAGAUGAUUGGAUUCAGAAGAUGUGGUAUAUAAAGACAAGGGAAUACUACUCAGCCAUAAAAAAGAAUGACAUAAUGCCAUUUGCAGCAACAUGGAUGGAACUAGAGAAUCUCAUACUGAGUGAAAUGAGCCAGAAAGACAAAUACCAUAUGAUAUCAUUUAUAACUGGAAUCUAAUAUCCAGCACAAAUGAACAUCUCCACAGAAAAGAAAAUCAUGGACUUGGAAAAUAGACUUGUGGCUGCCUGAUGGGAGGGAGUGGGAGGGAUGGGGAGUUUGGGGUUAUCAGACACAACUUAGAAUAGAUUUGCAAGGAGAUCCUGCUGAGUAGCAUUGAGAACUAUGUCUAGAUACUCAUGUUGCAACAAACAAAUGGUGGGGAAAAAAAUGUAAUGUAUACAUGUAAGGAUAACUUGAUCCCCUUGCUGUACAGUAGGAAAAUAAAAUAAAAUAAAAUAAAAUAUUAGCAAAAUAAUUAGAUAUAGAACAGGAGAGGAUAAAAUUUAUGAUUGCUUUGAAUUAUUAUUUCAAUUUGAAUAAGCAGAGAGACUAACAUUUCAAAUCGAGGAAACCACAUGGACAAAAACACUUGUUCUGGACCAGUUAAAUAAAGCAGAGUAUAAAGUAUAUGGAGAGGUGCCUGUUCCAAUUUGGACUAAAGUCCCCAAUUCAGGGAUAAUUAUUAGCAUAUUUGUGACAUAUACCUCCAGUGUCAACUAAAAAUAUCUAUUUAAAAUGAGGUGGUUUUAUUCUAUUUCAGUCAUUAUUAGCUAUCAAAAUGAUCAAGUAUGUAUAAAUUUUAUGUAUAUAUAAAACCUAGCAGGGGUCCACUCUUAAUCAGUAUUUUCCCAGAAUGACAUUUCUCAGGAAAGAAGAAGAUCUUAGUUAAGCUAACAAUUUUUUUAUCUUUCAUAGGAAAACUCCAGACAGAACCCUAAUUAAUGAAUUGGCAUAAUAGCAGUUCCUUGUUUAUAACUCAUAACAUACACACACUUAUAAAGAGUGGGAAGCAGGUCUGCAAGGAGCAGCCUAAGGAAGUGGGUGUAAAGAGAAGGGAAUGCAAUAUAAAAAAUGAAACCAGACAAAGGAAAAUAGUUUUGUCAAAGUUACAGCAAGAAAACCACCUAAGAGGCUCUAUGUUACACAAUUGGACUCUGCUUGCACUGCAUAAAAGGAGAGAGACUCUGAGAGAAGAAAAUCUUUCUCUUGUAAUCACAAAUGCCAUUUGUGGUUGCUUUGAUUCAUUUCAUGGUCUUAAGGACAAUUAUUUGGCUUUCAUUACUAAAGGUUCUCCUCAAAACAAAAGACUUAAGAGUAAAGAAUUCAUUUCUUUCCAUAGCAUUAUACAUUAAUUUGGAGUGUGCUUUGUUCUAUUAGGUACAAUUUCAAAUUACUUCCAAUACACCAAAAUGCCAUUUUUGCAAUUGAUAAUGUGAAUUUCAAUUCAUUUUUUUGCUGUUUUGCCAAAUAAAUACAGAAAAAUUAUGUCUUAGUCAUAUAUAAUGAUGGUGAUGUUUGGGAAAAUAAUUAAAUGAUACCACAGUUGCUAUUUAAUUAUACUGGCUCUGCUGUGUAUUUUAAGAUUACAUUACUACACUUUUUCACAAUUCAUUUCAUAUUUCUGUCAUUAAUCCCAUCAUUCAUUUCAGGUUCUUUCAUAAAUCCUUCUCAAUGUUUUGCUCUCUCCUUUUCUCUAUAACCCAUUAAGAAAGCAUAUGACCACCACAGUUAUCUAGUUUUCAAGGGUUAUGGACUGAAAAAAAAUUAAUGAGAAAUAUGGUAGAACUUGGACCAUUUGCAUAUAAUGUUUAAUAUUAAUAUGGAUACUGAUAAAUUCCAGAAUGGCACUAAUUAUUAACCAAAUUCAAAACAAGCAAACAUAGCUUCAGUUUGGAUUAGGUCAGUUAUUCUUUUUGACAAAAUUUUUCUCUUACCUGAUUUUAGGUCACUUUGUGAUGCCCACUGAGUUGGACAGGAAGCUCUU